AGACAACACCCACCAACCUAAAACUUGUGCUGUUUCCUUAAUUCUCACUUGUCAAUUCCUUCCACUCAUUAGAGGGAACAAAAAUGUGGCUAAACCUUGUGUCCUUACUAGUAGUUCUCAAAGGAGUCCAGUCUCAAGUCCAGUUGGUGGAGUCUGGAGGGGAUGUGAGAAGACCUGGAGAGUCCCUCCGUCUCUCCUGCCAAGCCUCUGGAUUCACCUUCAGCAGCUAUGGCAUGCGCUGGGUAAGACAAGCUCCAGGGAAAGGACUGGAAUGGGUGACAUCCAUCAGCUACAGUUCUGGUACUAUUCACUACUCAGACAAAGUCAAGGGCCGCUUCACUGUCUCCAGGGACAAUGCCAAAAGCCAGCUGUAUCUGCAAAUGAACAACCUCAAACCAGAGGACUCGGCAAUCUAUUACUGUGCAAGAGACACAG